GACGAACGCUGGCGGCGUGCUUAACACAUGCAAGUCGAGCGAGGCCCCUCCUUCGGGAGGGUGUCCUAGCGGCGAACGGGUGAGUAACACGUGGGCAACCUGCCCCCGGCUCUGGGAUAACUCCAAGAAAUUGGGGCUAAUACCGGAUAUGACCGCUGACCGCAUGGUCUGGUGGUGGAAAGAUUUAUCGGCUGGGGAUGGGCCCGCGGCCUAUCAGCUUGUUGGUGGGGUAGUGGCCUACCAAGGCGACGACGGGUAGCCGGCCUGAGAGGGUGACCGGCCACACUGGGACUGAGACACGGCCCAGACUCCUACGGGAGGCAGCAGUGGGGAAUAUUGCGCAAUGGGCGGAAGCCUGACGCAGCGACGCCGCGUGGGGGAUGACGGCCUUCGGGUUGUAAACCUCUUUCAGCAGGGACGAAGCGAAAGUGACGGUACCUGCAGAAGAAGCACCGGCCAACUACGUGCCAGCAGCCGCCGCAG
rnacentral:rRNA from 1 species